AUGUCGGUUUUCCACCGACAUUAAAGACUAAGCUUUAAUGUCGGUUUUAAACCGACAUUAAAGGUCCGCCAUUUUGAAAACCGACAUUAAAGGUCCAUUUAAUUUUUUUUUAAUAAUUUUAUUUUGUGAAAAAAUAAUAGUCUCUCUCUUACUUUACUCUUUCGACCCUCUCCUACUCGCGCAAUCCCUUUUCUUCUCCAAAUGAAUUCGUCCAUUUCUUCUUCGGCGACUUUUUCUUCUCCGAUGCCCGUUCCUUCUCCGACUUUUUCUCAUUGUUUUUCUCAUCUUCUUUUCUUUUUCUGAAUCCUUCCCAUAUUCAUCCAAAGGCAUGCUCAUCCACUUUCUGUAGAGGGUUUAGGGUCGAAUCACCAUCGCUCUCUAUUUUCUCUUCUUCUUCGAUAGUUCCGUCACUCUCUUCUUAUGGAUUGUUGGUCCCUUUCUCUCCCUCUCGACGACGAGUUCAAGAAGCUCGUCAAUCGUAUGAACCCUCACAGGGUUACCAUUGAUAAUGAUUCCAUCAGAAAAGCUACUCCGAUUAAGGUCUUUUUUUUUUCUACUUCAAUUAUUAUUUAUCCCUUCCAUUAAGCCCUUUCAUUGCAUCAGCAAGCAGCCGAAAACCAACUCCGGCAGCAGCUCAACUCACCAACCGUGCUGCUGUUCUCAUCUGCCUCUUCCUAACCGACAUUGGCGAGCUCCGCGUCAUCCUCACAAAGCGAGCCUCUACGCUUUCUUCCCACUCUGGGUGCAGGGGAAGUUGCACUCCCUGGCGGAAAAAGGGACCUGAGUGAUGCAGACGAUGUUGCGACGGCAUUGAGGGAGGCAGAGGAGGAAAUUGGAUUAGCCCCUGCUCUCCCCUAAUUGGAGAAGUUCUACUAGACGGACGUGACAUAAAAACUUUGAAGCUGAGAUGGUUAAGGCAGCAGAUAGGAUUGGUGAGCCAAGAACCUGCUCUUUUCGCUACCACCAUCAAGGAGAAUAUACUCUUAGGCAGACCUGAGGCAGACCAACUUGAGGUGGAGGAAGCUGCUCGAGUCGCCAAUGCUCAUUCAUUCAUUAUCAAACUUCCUGAAGGCUAUGACACCCAGAAGGGUAUGACUGUAGUUCCUGUCCUUGGUAAGUUUAUCUAGCAAGGAAGCAUUCAAUCCAACUCCAAAUGCUGGUGAAGUAGAUGCAGUAUUUGAUGUUCCCUUGGAAAUGUUCCUUAAGGAUGAGAAAAGAAGAGCAGUGGAGAAGGAAUGGAUGGGAUAUAAUUAUCUACUACACUUUUUUGACUACGAAUGGAGAUAUCACUAAACAAAUGACUGCAAUAGAAGAAAUGGUUGCAAGUGAGUACAAUUAGCCAGACCCUUAUCUUUGUGACAAGAUCUUGAAGAUGGUCAUUUGUGAAGCGUUCUAGUUUGCUAUUAGUUGCAAUUUUAGUUAUUGCUCUCUCAAUAUAUUCUUUUUCUUUCUUUCUUUCUUUUUUUCCAAAGGAUGAUCAAUGUAUAAUAAUUAAGCUUCAUAACUUCUUUGUAUUUGGAGCCAAGUUGUAUAUAAAUGUACACAUUAUUAAGAUUUCAUUUUGUAUAUGUACAAGUAAAAGAUUUCAUUUUUAA